rnacentral:rRNA from 1 species
GCCCUUCGGGGUACUCGAGUGGCGAACGGGUGAGUAACACGUGGGUGAUCUGCCCUGCACUUUGGGAUAAGCCUGGGAAACUGGGUCUAAUACCGAAUAGGACCACGGCAUUCAUGUGCUGUGGUGGAAAGCUUUUGCGGUGUGGGAUGGGCCCGCGGCCUAUCAGCUUGUUGGUGGGGUAAUGGCCUACCAAGGCGACGACGGGUAGCCGGCCUGAGAGGGUGACCGGCCACACUGGGACUGAGAUACGGCCCAGACUCCUACGGGAGGCAGCAGUGGGGAAUAUUGCACAAUGGGCGCAAGCCUGAUGCAGCGACGCCGCGUGAGGGAUGACGGCCUUCGGGUUGUAAACCUCUUUCAGUACCGACGAAGCGCAAGUGACGGUAGGUACAGAAGAAGGACCGGCCAACUACGUGCCAGCAGCCGCGGUAAUACGUAGGGUCCGAGCGUUGUCCGGAAUUACUGGGCGUAAAGAGCUCGUAGGUGGUUUGUCGCGUUGUUCGUGAAAACUCACAGCUUAACUGUGGGCGUGCGGGCGAUACGGGCAGACUGGAGUACUGCAGGGGAGACUGGAAUUCCUGGUGUAGCGGUGGAAUGCGCAGAUAUCAGGAGGAACACCGGUGGCGAAGGCGGGUCUCUGGGCAGUAACUGACGCUGAGGAGCGAAAGCGUGGGGAGCGAACAGGAUUAGAUACCCUGGUAGUCCACGCCGUAAACGGUGGGUACUAGGUGUGGGUUUCCUUCCUUGGGAUCCGUGCCGUAGCUAACGCAUUA